rnacentral:rRNA from 1 species
ACGGCUCAGUAACACGUGGACAACCUGCCCUUAGGACGGGGAUAAACCCGGGAAACUGGGUAUAAUACCCGAUAGGUCUCGAUUGCUGGAAUGCAUCGAGAUUUAAAGCUCCGGCGCCUAAGGAUGGGUCUGCGGCCUAUCAGGUAGUAGUGGGUGUAGCGUACCUACUAGCCUACGACGGGUACGGGUUGUGAGAGCAAGAGCCCGGAGAUGGAUUCUGAGACACGAAUCCAGGCCCUACGGGGUGCAGCAGGCGCGAAAACUUUACAAUGCUGGCAACAGCGAUAAGGGAACCUCGAGUGCCAGGUUACAAAUCUGGCUGUCGAGAUGCCUAAAAAGCAUUUCAUAGCAAGGGCCGGGCAAGACCGGUGCCAGCCGCCGCGGUAACACCGGCGGCUCGAGUGGUAACCGUUAUUAUUGGGUCUAAAGGGUCUGUAGCCGGCCGGAUAAGUCUCUUGAGGAAUCUGGCAGCUUAACUGUCAGGCUUUCAGGAGAUACUGUCUGGCUCGAGGCCGGGAGAGGUGAGAGGUACUUCAGGGGUAGGGGUGAAAUCUUGUAAUCCUUGAAGGACCACCAGUGGCGAAGGCGUCUCACCAGAACGGACCUGACGGCAAGGGACGAAAGCUAGGGGCACGAACCGGAUUAGAUACCCGGGUAGUCCUAGCCGUAAACGAUACUCGCUAGGUGUCGGCCACGGUGCGACCGUUGUCGGUGCCGUAGGGAAGCCGUGAAGCGAGCCACCUGGGAAGUACGGCCGCAAGGCUGAAACUUAAAGGAAUUGGCGGGGGAGCACCACAACGGGUGGAGCUUGCGGUUUAAUUGGAUUCAACGCCGGG